rnacentral:rRNA from 1 species
CCUACGGGAGGCAGCAGUGAGGAAUAUUGGUCAAUGGGCGAGAGCCUGACCCAGCCAAGUCGCGUGAGGGAGUACUGCCCUAUGGGUUGUAAACCUCUUUUGUCGGGGAGCAAAAGCCGGACGUGUCCGGCUGUGAGAGUACCCGAAGAAAAAGCAUCGGCUAACUCCGUGCCAGCAGCCGCGGUAGUACGGAGGAUGUGAGCGUUAUCCGGGUUUAUUGGGGUAAAAGGGGGCGCAGGCGGAUUUUUAAGUCAGCGGUAAAAUCGUGGGGCUCAACCCCAUCCAGCCGUUGAAACUGGGGAUCUAGAGUGUGCGAGAGGUAUGCGGAAUGCGUGGUGUAGCGGUGAAAUGCAUAGAUAUCACGCAGAACCCCGAUUGCGAAGGCAGCAUACCGGUGCACAACUGACGCUCAGGCACGAAAGCGUGGGUAUCGAACAGGAUUAGAUACCCGAGUAGUC